GUUUUUUCAGUAGAUGCUGAGCAGCAUUAUUUUGUGGUUUUUGACUUGCUCUGGUGAGUGCUUUGAGGAGUUUUACAUAUAGUGAAAUAGACCUUAUGACACUGAUGUACUCCAUCUCACCCUGCAAACACCUCCACUAAUCACAGCCAGCUUUCUUCCAAGAGAAGGACUCUGCAAUGUGUCUCUCUCUACAUAUCUCUACUGUAGUGAUUAUGAACCCCUUCUUAUCAUAAACUGCUGAGUGUCCUUGUUUUGCUGCAUUAGCUGUCUGCUGUUAGUAAUGCUGCUCAGCAUUUCAGUGGUUGGGAAAUUCUGAAAGGAUGUUAGUCGUUAGGUGAUAUAAUGAUGUAUCAGACCUUCUCUGAAAGAAGAAAGAGGCCACCUAGUGCCGAAUUAUGGAUUGCUGUAGAAGUCUAUCUGCUUGGAAGGUGGAUCUACUGCUUGUCAUAAA
rnacentral:lncRNA from 1 species